rnacentral:rRNA from 1 species
CAAUGGGGCGAAAGCCUGAUCCAGCAAUGCCGCGUGCAGGAAAGAAGGGCCUUCGGGUUGUAAACUGCUUUUGUACGGAACGAAAAGGCCAGCCCUAAUACGGCAGGCCCAUGACGGUACCGUAAGAAUAAGCACCGGCUAACUACGUGCCAGCAGCCGCGGUAAUACGUAGGGUGCGAGCGUUAAUCGGAAUUACUGGGCGUAAAGCGUGCGCAGGCGGUGAUGUAAGACAGUUGUGAAAUCCCCGGGCUCAACCUGGGAAUUGCAUCUGUGACUGCAUCGCUAGAGUACGGUAGAGGGGGAUGGAAUUCCGCGUGUAGCAGUGAAAUGCGUAGAUAUGCGGAGGAACACCGAUGGCGAAGGCAAUCCCCUGGACCUGUACUGACGCUCAUGCACGAAAGCGUGGGGAGCAAACAGGAUUAGAUACCCUGGUAGUCCACGCCCUAAACGAUGUCAACUGGUUGUUGGGUGCAUUAGUACUCAGUAACGAAGCUAACGCGUGAAGUUGACCGCCUGGGGAGUACGGCCGCAAGGUUUGAAACUC